GAGCCGUCCAGGGGCACAAGCACGGCUGCAAAAAUAAUUGGACAGGAAGACCUUGAAAAGUGCUGCCCGACUGCAAGAAGAGAGGCUGGCCAAGAUUAAGGCUAAAUUGCAAGAGCUGUCCUUUGAAGAAAGGGGAGCGAUGCUGGAGCUGGCUGCUUCCCAUCUACUUGGAGUGAUUUUUGACAUCAUGGAGUACCGUACAGCUAUCCCAGGGUCUCCUGACAACCUCGCUGAUGCAACUGCAUUAAUUGUAGGGAGACUCCUACACCUUACAACACACAACUGCUGCCAUUUCACCAAUGCAAUAUUCAAUUUCUAAAUUACCAAGUAUAUUUACAUAACAGGUUAACACUUUCCACGACUACACUGAACUUUAUUCUUAAUUUGGAUCCCAAUUAGGAAAAAUACUCCAUUUGGUGAUAUCUUUGCAAGUCCUUUUUUUGUGAAUUUGUCCUUGGUCUGGGUGAUAUCAGUUCAGUACUUUAUCAGAAUGUUUCCCUUACACUGUGCUUUUGUUAUUUUGAGGAAUGUUACAGAUACUACCUUGUAUUCAUGUUUAUCUCUCUAAUAAAACUAUUUGACCUGA